rnacentral:rRNA from 1 species
GUGGAUUAGAUACCCGGGUAGUCCACGCCGUAAACGAUGAUAACUAGCUGUCAGGGCUCUUGGAGCUUUGGUGGCGCAGCUAACGCGUUAAGUUAUCCGCCUGGGGAGUACGGCCGCAAGGUUAAAACUCAAAGAAAUUGACGGGGGCCUGCACAAGCGGUGGAGCAUGUGGUUUAAUUCGAAGCAACGCGCAGAACCUUACCAGCGUUUGACAUGGUAGGACGGUUACUGGAGACAGUUUCCUUCCCUUACGGGACCUACACACAGGUGCUGCACGGUCGUCGCCAGCU